rnacentral:rRNA from 1 species
GAUGAACGCUGGCGGCGUGCCUAAUACAUGCAAGUCGAACGAGUGGCGGACGGGUGAGUAAUGUCUGGGAAACGGCCUGAUGGAGGGGGAUAAAUACUGGAAACGGUAGCUAAAACCGCAAACCAUCGGAUGUGCCCAGAUGGGAAUAGCUGGGAGGUGGGGUAACGGCUCACCUAGGCGACGAUCCAUAGCUGGUGUGAGAGGAUGACCCGUCACUGGGGAACGGGGACACGGUCUCACCUCCUACCUGAGGCAGCAGUGGGACUCCUUCCACAAGCGGCGCAAGCCUGAUGCACCCAUUCCGCGUGUACGUAACGGGCCUUCGGCUUGUAAAGUAUGUUAAGCGGGGAGGCGUUACCUGAAGAAGAAGCACCGGCUAACUCCGUGCCAGCAGCCGCGGUAAUAC